UACGUAGGGCGCAAGCGUUGUCCGGAAUUAUUGGGCGUAAAGAGCUCGUAGGCGGUUUGUCGCGUCUGCUGUGGAAACCUAAGGCUCAACCUUGGGCUUGCAGUGGGUACGGGCAGACUAGAGUGCGGUAGGGGUGACUGGAAUUCCUGGUGUAGCGGUGGAAUGCGCAGAUAUCAGGAGGAACACCGAUGGCGAAGGCAGGUCACUGGGCCGCAACUGACGCUGAGGAGCGAAAGCGUGGGGAGCGAACAGG
rnacentral:rRNA from 1 species